rnacentral:rRNA from 1 species
GACGAACGCUGGCGGCGUGCUUAACACAUGCAAGUCGAACGGAAAGGCCCUGCUUUUGUGGGGUGCUCGAGUGGCGAACGGGUGAGUAACACGUGAGUAACCUGCCCUUGACUUUGGGAUAACUUCAGGAAACUGGGGCUAAUACCGGAUAGGAGCUCCUGCUGCAUGGUGGGGGUUGGAAAGUUUCGGCGGUUGGGGAUGGACUCGCGGCUUAUCAGCUUGUUGGUGGGGUAGUGGCUUACCAAGGCUUUGACGGGUAGCCGGCCUGAGAGGGUGACCGGCCACAUUGGGACUGAGAGACGGCCCAGACUCCUACGGGAGGCAGCAGUGGGGAAUAUUGCACAAUGGGCGGAAGCCUGAUGCAGCAACGCCGCGUGCGGGAUGACGGCCUUCGGGUUGUAAACCGCUUUCGCCUGUGACGAAGCGUGAGUGACGGUAAUGGGUAAAGAAGCACCGGCUAACUACG